GGAGACUGAAAGGUGGUGUUGAUUGACCAUGGACCCAGGGAAAUAUCUGCAGUGGGUUAAGGAUACUCUGUGUGUCUUACAAAACAGAGACACAGAUGCUGCCUAAGAACGAGGUCCUCCUGGAACCGGUGCCAGGGAAGGAUCUGGAAGGAAAAGAAGAAUACCUGUGAUAGGUGUGAGAGAGGAGUGCCACUCACUGUUCACUGCAGCAGCAGGCGACAGGUGAAUUCUGAAUUCUUUUUUUUUUCCUUUUGAGACAGAGUCUUGUUCUGUAGCCCACGCUGGAGUGCAAUGGUGCGAUCUCGGCUCACUGUGACCUCCGCCUCCCGGGUUCAAGCAAUUCUCCUGCCUCAGCCUUCCAAGUAGCUGAGAUUACAGGUGCCCACCACCAAGCCCAUCUAAUUUUUGUAUUUUCAGUAGAGACAGGGUUUCACCAUUUUGUCCAGGCUGUUCUCGAAGUCCUGACCUCAGGUGAUCCACCCACCUCAGCCUCCCAAAGUGCUGGGAUUACAGGUGUGAGCCACCACUCCUGGCCGAAUUCUGAAUUCUUCUUUAUGGGAAGUGAGAGCUUGGGACAUAGGCAUCCCCUUGGACCCAGUAACCCCACUUCUGGGAGUUCAGUUUAAGGAAAGCCUGCAGUCAAGUCCAAAACUUAUCAAAUGACAAGGGCAAACUAUGAUGGGGAACUGUAAUGUACAAAGUGCUAAGCUAAGCACUUUCUAUAUAUUGCUUUUUCCUGUCAAAGAAAAUAAAAAUAUGAGGACCUUCCAAAGGCAGUUUGCCAAAGGAAAAGUUGUUGUUGUUUGUAUUGGUUUGUUUGUUUUUGAGACAUGGUCUCAUCUGUUGUCCAGGCAGGUGUGCAGUCAUGCGAACAUGGCUCACUGCAUCCUUGAUCUCUUGGGCUCAAGGGACCCUCCUACCCCUUGGGCUCAAGGGAUCCUCCUACCCAGCCUCCUGAGUGGCAGAUCACCUGAGGUCAGGAGUUGGAGACCAGCCUGGCCAACAUGGUGAAACCCGGUCUCUACUAAAAAUACAAAAAUUAGCCAGGCGUGGUGGCAGGUGCCUGUAAUCCCAGCUACUCAGGAGGCUGAGGCAGGAGAAUUGCUUGAAUGCAGAGGCUGCAGUGAGCCAAGAUCACACCACUGCACUCCAGCCACCACAGGCGCAGCCACCAUGUCCAGCUAAUUUUUAAAUGUUUUGUUGAGGUGAGGGGUGGGGGGAAACUCACUUUGUUGCUCACACUAGUCUUGAUCUUCUGGGCUCGAGUGAUCCUCCUGCCUAAGUGUUGGGAUUACAGGCAUGUACCACCGCGUCUGUACCAAAGGGAAAGUUAGGUCUGGAGACUGAGCCACACAACACUGAAGUUCCUUUCCCGAAUGCAUGGCUGUUGCUUCCUGAUUGUGUUAAGUGGUUAAGCAUUGUAGCUUACCCAGAUGCCUACAAAAAGAAAAAAAAAAAAAGCCCUCACACAUCUCCAGAUGAUCACCCUCACAAAUUGUUCAUACGUAAAUUCUUUGCUUACUCCUAAAUCUUUCCAAGAUGUCCAGCCUCCCGUAAACAAAGAUACGUAACCUUAGGUUUACAAGCUCUAUGUGACCCCUUGUCCACGGAACCAGUCUGCUGAAUUUCAUCCUGACAGCACUGAUUACAAGCUUACUUUCCCCGGUGCAAAACAAAGACAGGAUGACAUCCAUCAGCCCUCCACCAGACCCUGAGACAGCUGCAAAAUUAAUCUUUCCUUUACUCCUUCUUCAAAUGUUUAUCUUAGGUAUAGCUAUAGUUUCAGUUUCCCUGGACACUAAUUAAAGUCAGAAUAAUGUAACUGAUGAGAAAUCUCACCGCCUAUUUUCUUUUUACUGUUUUCUCUGAGUUGAUGGAGAUACUGUUUCAGUUUCUAAUUUGUGUGGACAUUCCAAUUGACUGGGAAGCAGCUGUUAUCACACCCCCGCUAUAAGAAAGCAGAGGUUGGCUGGGGGCAGUGGCUCACACCUGUAAUCCCAGCACUUUGGGAGGCUGAGGCGGGUGGAACACUUGAAGCCAGGAGUUUGAGACCAGCCUGGCCAACAUGGUGAAACCCCGUCUCUACUAAAAAUACAAAAAUUAGCCGGGCGUGGUGGCACACACCUUUGAUCCCACCUACUUGGGAGGCUGAGGCAGGACAAUCACUUGAACCAGGGAGACAGAGGUUGCAGAGAGCCAAGACUGCAUUACUGCACUCCAGCCUGGGCAACAGAGUGAGACUCCAUCUCAAAAAAGAAAGAGAGAGAGAAAGAGCAAAAGAGAGAGAAAGAAAAGCAGAGGCCCGAGGGAAAGGAGCUGGUUCGCCAUGAUGGAAUUUGAGCCCAAGUCUGACUCCAAACCUGCACUCAGUUCUCCCCAGGGCAGGGCUUGUCACGUCUGGUGGCACCUCUGACACUUGGGGCUUGAUCAUUUACUGUGGGGGGCCGUCCUGUACACUGUAGUGUUGAGCAGCAUCCCUGGCCUACAUCCCUAGAUGGCAGCGGCACUCCCAGCCCCCGCGGUGACAAUAAAAAUGUCCCCUGGAGCAGAAUCGCCCCCACCCGCUGAGCGCCCUGGGGCCAGCGACUUCCUACAGGCAUGGAGUUGUCCUCAGAAGCCCAUCCGGGGCCACAUCUCAGUAUCCCAAAGUAAGUGAAAUAUGCAUGUAGUGUAAUAAACAGAAAUGAAACAGCUGAGGGAUGGUUGCGGAUGAUCUUUGCUCCUAUUUUUUUUUUCUUAGCCAGGUGCAGUGGUUCACACCUAUAAUCCCAGCACCUUGGGAGGCUGAGGAAGGAGGAUGACAUGAGCCCAGGAGUUUGAGACCAGCCUGGGCAACAUACAGAGAUCCCGUCUCUACAAACAAUACAAAACUUAGCUGGGCGUGAUGGUGGUGAGUGGCUGUAGUCCCAGCUACUCAGGAGGCUGAGGCAGGAGGAUCGCUUGAGCCCAGGAGUUUGAGAAAAGCCUGGUCAACAUAGUGAGACCCCAUCUCUACAAAAAAAGUAAAAAAAUUAGCCAGGUGUGGUACUGAGCAUCUGUGGUCCCAGCUACUCGGGAGGCUGAGGUGGGAGGAUCGCUUGAGCCCAGGAGGUCAAAGGCUGCAGUGAGCUAUGAUCACACCACUGCACUCCAGCCUGGGCGACAGAACAAGAGCCUGUCUUUAAUAAAUAAAUAAAAGAGGGGAAAUUGGGUGUAGGGAAUGUGGGAAAUUCUAUUAUCCUCACUGUUUUUUUUCUGCAAAUCUAAAACUAUUCUAAAAUAAAAUGUUGGCCGGGCACGGUGGCUCACGCCUGUAAUCCCAGAACUUUGGGAGGCUGAGGUGGGCAGAUCACGAGGUCAGGAGAUCGAGACCAUCCUGGCCAACAUGGUGAAACCCUGUCUCUACUAAAAUACAAAAAUUAGCUGGGCGUAGUGGCGCAUGCCUGUAAUCCCAGCUACUUGGGAGGCUGAGGCAGGAGAAUUGCUUGAAUCAGGGAGUUGGAGGUUGCAGUGAGUGGAGAUCGCGCCACUGCACUCCAGCCUAGGUGACAGAGUGAGACUCUGUCUCAAAAAUAAAUAAAUAAAAUAAAAUAAAAUAAAAUGUUUCUUUUCUUUUUUUUUUUUUUUGAGACAGAGUCUCACUCUGUCGCCCAGGCUGAAGUGCAGUGGCGCGAUCUCACUGCACUGCAACCUCUGCCUCUGGGUUCAAGCGAUUCUUCUGCCUCAGCCUUCUGAGUAGCUGGGAUUACAGGCACCUGCCACUACGCCUGGCUAGUUUUUGUAUUUUUAGUAGAGACAGGGUUUCACCAUGUUGGCCAGGCUGGUCUCGAACUCCUGACGUCAGGUCAUCCACCCGCCUCAGCCUCCAAAGUGCUGGGAUUACAGGCAUGAACCACUGCUCCCAACUGAAAUGUUUCUCUAAAAUAAUAAUAAUUAUAUAUAUAUAUGUGUAUAUAUAUAUGUGUGUAUAUAUAUAUGUAUAUAUAUGUAUAUAUAUGUGUGUGUAUAUAUAUAUGUGUGUGUGUAUAUAUAUAUAUAUAUAUAUAUAUAUAUAUAUGAAGCUAAAACCAAAAGAAUGCUAGCGGCUGGGUGCAGUGGCUUACUCCUGUAAUUCCAACACUUUGCGGGGGCUGAGGCAGGAGGAUCUUUGGAGCCUAGGAGUUUGAGACCAGCCUGGGAAACAUACUGAGACCCCCAUCUCUACAAAAAAUAAAAAAUUAGCUGGGCGUGGUGGUGCACACAUAUAGUCCCAGCUACGCCAGAGGCUGAGGUGAGAGGAUUGCUUGAGCCCAGGAGGUCAAGGCUGCAGUGAGCUAUGAUUGCACCACUGCGCUCCAGCCUGGGCAACAGGACAAGAUUCUGUCUCAAAAGAAAAUAAAAAAAGAAAAAGAAUGGUAGCAUAACAGUUUCCAUUUCUAAUUUUAUUGCGAAAGUAAUUGUGGUUUCUGCCAUAACUUUUAGUAAGCAUAAUUAAUUAAUGCCAUUAAAAGUAAUGGAAGGCCGGGCGUGGUGGCUCAUGGCUGUAAUCGCAGUACUUUGGGAGGCCGAGAUGGACGGAUCAUGAGGUCAGGAGUUCGAGACCAGCCUGGGUAACAUGGUGAAACCCCGUCUCUACUAAAAAUACAAAAAUUAGCUGGGCGUGGUGGCGGGUACCUGUAAUCCCAGCUACUCAGGAGACUGAGGCAGCAGGAUUGCUUGAACCCAGGAGGCGGAGGUCAGAGGUUGCAGUGAGACGAGAUCGUGCCAAUGCACCCCAGCCUGAGAGACAGACCGAGACUCCAUCUCAAAGAAAAAAACAAAAAAAGGCUGGGUGCGGUGGCUCAAGCCUGUAACCCCAGCAAUUUGGGAGGCCGAGGCGGGCAGAUCACCUGAGGUCGGGAGUUUGAGACCAGCCUGGCCAACAUGGAGAAACCUAAACCUCUCUACUAAAAAUACAAAAUUAGCCGGGCAUGGUGGCGCAUGCCUGUAAUCCCAGCUACUAGGGAGGCUGAGGCAGGAGAAUUGUUUGAACCCAGGAGGCAGAGGUUGUGGUGAGCUAAGAUUGCAUCAUUGCACUCCACCCUGGGUAACAAGAGUGAAAUUCCAUCUCAAAAAAAAAAAAAAAAAAAAAAAAGUAAUGGCAGAGGCUGGGAGCGGUGGCUCAUGCCUGUAAUCCCAGCACUUUGGGAGGCCAAGUCGGGUGGAUCCCUUGAGGUCGGGAGUUCGAGACCAGCCUGGCCAACAUGUCGAAACCCCGUCUCUCCUAAAAAUACAAAAAGUAGCUGGGCAUGGUGGCAGGCAUCUGUAGUCCCAGCUACUCAGGAGGCUGAGGCAGAAGAAUCACUUCAACCCAGGAGGCAGAGGUUGCAGUGAGCCGAGAUUACACCACUGCACUCCAGCCUGGGUGACAGAGGGAGAAUAUAUUUAAAAAUAUAAAAUAAAAUAUAGGCCGGGCACGGUGGCUCACGCUUGUAAUCCCAGUACUUGGUGAGUCCAAGUUGGGUGGAUCACCUGAGGUCAGAAGUUUGAGACCAGCCUGGCCAACAUGGCGAAACCCCAUCUCUACUAAAAAUGCAAAAAGUAGCCAGGCAUGGUGGCAGGCAUCUGUAGUCCCAGCUACUCAGGAGGCUGAGGCAGGAGAAUCGCUUCAACCCAGGAGGCAGAGGUUGUAGUGAUCGAGAUCGUACCACUGCACUCCAGCCUGGGCGACAGAGAGAGAUUCCCUCUCAAAAAAAAAAAAAAAAAAGUAAUGGCAGAAACCGCAAUUACUUUUGCACCAACCAAUAUAUAAAAAUACAUUAUAUAUUUAAAAAUAUAAAAUAAAAUAUAGGCCAGGUGCAGUGGCUCACGCCUGUAAUCCCAGCACUUUGGGAGGCUGAGUCAGACAGAUCACCUGAGGUCAGGAGUUCAAGACCAGCCUGGUCAACAUGGCAAAACCCUGUCUCUACUAAAAGUACAAAAAUAAGCCAGGCAUGGCGGUGGGCGCCUGUAAUCCCAGCUACUCAGGAGGCUGAGGCAGGGGAAUCGCUUGAACUCCGGAGGCAGAGGUUGCAGUGAGCCAAGAUCGUGCCACUGCACUCCAGCCUGGGCAACAAGAGCGAGACUCCAUCUCAAAAAAAAUUAAUUAAUUAAUUAAUUAAUUAAAACAAAAUAAAAUAAAUAUAUGUACUUAAAAUAUAUAUAUAUAUUUAUUUUUAAAUAGGGAUAGGAUCUCUCUAUGUUGACCAGGCUGGUCUCGAACUACUGGCCUCAAGCAAUCUUCCCAUCUCAGCCUCCCAAAGUACUAGGAUUGCAGGCAUGAGCCACUGCACCCAUCCCACCAUUUGUAAUUGUGGGCGGCAAGCCACCCAGGUGCCAAGGCAAGAGACUGAGGACACGAGCUGUUCCAGUAUAAUAAAAUAUAAAACAAGAAUAGUUAUACCAAAUAUAGAUCUUAGAGAUAUAUGAAUAUCAUUAAUCAUUAGUUUGUAGUAAUUACUCUUUAUCCCAAUAGUAUAAUAAUCCUCGGUCUACAAUCAUAACCUAGGAAAAACCAGGCCAUACAGAGAUAGGAGCUGAGGGGACAUAGUGAGGUGUGACCAGAAGACAAGAGUGCAAGCCUUCUGUUAUGCCCGGACAGGGCCAGCAGAAGGGCUCCUUGGUCUAGCGGUGACGCCAGCGUCUGGGAAGACGCCCGUUGCCCGAGCGGACAGUGGUCUAGCGGUAGCGAAAAGUGUCAAGGAACAACACCCACUACUUAGCAGACCGGGAAAGGGAGGCUCCUUUUCCCUGGGGGAGUUUGGAGAAGACUCUGCUCCUCCACCUCUUGUGGAGGGCCUGACAUCAGUCAGGCUCGCCCGCGGUUAUCUGGCAGCCUAACCGUCUCCCUGUGAUGCUGUGCUUCAGUGGUCACGCUCCUAGUCCGCCUUCAUGUUCCAUCCUGUACACCUGGCUCUGCCUUCUAGAUAGCAGUAGUCAUUUAGUGAAAGUACUAAAAGUCUCUGAUAUGCAGAAAUAAUGGCAUAAGCUGUCUUUCUGUCUGUCCCCUCUCUCUCUCUCUGCCUCGGCUGCCAGGCAGGGAAGGGCCCCCUGUCCAGUGGACACGUGACCCACGUGACCUUACCUAUCAUUGGAGAUGACUCACACUCUUUACCCUGCCCCUUUUGCUUUGUAUCCAAUAAAUAACAGCACAGCCAGACAUUCGGGGCCACUACCAGUCUCCGCGCAUUGCUGGUAGUGGUCCCCCGGGCCCAGCUGUCUUUUCUUUUAUCUCUUCGUCUUGUGUCUUUAUUUCUACACUCUCUCGUCGCCGCACACAGGGAGAGACCCACUGACCCUGUGGGGCUGGUCCCUACAGUAAUUUUAAAGGGAAGAGCAACAAACUUUCGGUUUGCAGGGCUGGGACUGUUUACAGCUGCAAAAUUUAGAGAGGACAUCAAUCUAUUAUUAUCCACAUUUUACAGCUGGGGAAAUCAAUGCUAAGAGAGGAAAUUCAUUUGCCCAGAGGUGCACCACCCUGGCCUCCAAUGUGCAAUUCAUGCAAUUGUGAUUUCCGACCUGGUCCCAAACUAACCCUAAAGUUAGCAGGCCAGAACAGUGCUGCUCAAAUAAGUCAGCUUAGUCAAAUAAGUCAGGCAAAGGUCGUGUCUUUGCACCUGGAGUCCUGGCCAGGCUGGUAGGUCCCUCCUCCUGGGACAAGUUCACCCUCAGAAUUUUCAGCAAGAUCAUCUCCCACAGCUUGUUAAUUGGUUCUUGGUUCUAAGUGAUUUUUUUGUUUAUUGGUUUAAGAGAUGGGAUCCCACUCUAUCACCCAGGCUUGAGUGCCGUGGCACAAUCAUAGCUCGCUGCAGCCUCAAACUCCUGGGCUCGAGUGAUCCUCCUGCCUCAGCCUCCCAGCCUCAGCCUGGGACCACAGGCAUGUACCACCAUGCCUGGCUCUAAGUGGCUUUAAUGGGGUCCUUCUGAGGGAUGUUGGAGUCAGGGCCUGGGGGGAGUUCCCCAGGCCUUCUGGGAGGCCUGGGCUCUGGACUUGACCUCGCCUACUGUCUGGCCCUGCUGAAAAGAAAAAAAAACAUGGAAAUGGCAGACCUAACAGAAUCUGGGCUGUGGUCAGGAUGUGGCUGAAGAAGCCACAAGAAAAACAUGCAGUCCCCUUUCAGCGGUCAUGCCCAGCAGUUGGGUGCCGAUAAUGGGCCUGAUUUCCUGUAGGAAGCCCUGGCUCUCUUGGCCACAUGGACAGUGUCUGAGGCUGGCCCUGUUAUUCCCCUUUGCAGAUGAAGAAACAGGCUCAGAGAGUUUACCUGGUAUCCUGGAGUCCCAGGAGCACUUUUUCUGGAAGUAGGAGCUUGUUUCCUGCAGGUGCCAAGACAGAGACCGACAUUGUUUGUUGGCUGGGUCGGUCUCCCAGUUUUCAGCUGGCUCCAGUCUCACCUGUUGCUCACACACCCUCCAUGUCUCCCAUAGUCCCCUCGGUGGGGACAGAGGCACUGGAUGAAGCCCUGCUCGUCACCACAGAGACACCUGAACACAAAAACCAGUCCCUGGGGUCAGACCCAGGCCCCGCCCCCAGACCCAGGCCCUGCCCUCACUCCACCACGCAACUGUGCAACCUCAGUUUCCCCAGGUGGAGACC
rnacentral:lncRNA from 1 species